ensembl:lncRNA
ACAGCCCAAGAGCAGAAGGGCUGCAGAGUUUUGCAGCAACAGAUGUGAGAAGGCUGGGGCUGGGAGGUGGGAAAUGUCCUUGGAAGACGGAUUCCUCCAUCCGCUGUUUCAGCCCUUGUUUGUUUUCUGGUGGAAAUUAAUUUCUCAAAGGCCCUCCGUGUUGGAAAGGGCACGCUGAUAGGUGCAGGGAAAUAAGGAACUGGAAACAAGAUGCGCCUUAGCAGGCUGCAGGAUGGAACCUUUGUGCGUGCAGGUGGUGAGAAGUGACCUUCGGGAGGAACCCACGCUGAUGUGUUGAGUUUUGCUGGGACUCUUCAGUGCUCUUUGGGCUCUGAUACGUAAGUAAGGUGGUGCAACCACGUGUGUCAGCUCACUGCUGAGCUCAGCGCUGGAGGCCCUGCUUUGGGUGAGUUCUGCUGUGGGAUGUGCCAAUGGGAAUGGACUGAAGCGGCUCAAAGCGUUCCAUGGGAGCUCAGCCUGCAUGCCUUUCUCCCAGCAGGUUGGAUGUAAGUUGGGUCUGAUGAAUUCCAGGUGUUCUUCCAAAGGUUUGGAGCUGGAGAGAACAACUGUGGGCAGCCACGGGGUCACCUUUUCCCCGGGUGUGGAUGAGGGAUGUAUGCUGAGCCAGGAGGUCCUACUUAGUGCUUAAAGGAGCCCACAAGCAGGAUGGGGACUGGCUUUUUGCACGAGUAGGUAGUGAUAGUACAAGGGGGAAUGGUAUUAAACGGAAAGAGGAGAGAUUUACAUGAGAUGUCAGAGGGAAAUUCUUUACUCAGGUUGGUGUGGCUCUGGCACUGCUGCCCGAAGCUGUGGGUGCCCCAUCCCUGCUGGUACCCAAGGCCGGGUGGGAUGGGGCCCUGAGCAGCCUGAGCUGAUGGGGGGCAGAGCACAGGGUGGAGGAUGGGGCCGGGUGGGCUUUAAGGUCCCUUCCAACCCAACCAUGCUGUGAUUUGGGGGUUUCAUUAGCUGGGUGUGUGUGCACUGCUGCCAGUGCAAGCUUCCCCAAAGCCUAACAGUCUGCAAAGUGCUUUCCAGAGGGCUUCAUUUCCCUUUUUUAAUCACAGAUCUGGCCGGGAUGGACAGGAGGAUGGAGGGUGGGAGGAAGGGGUGUGUGGGUGAGGGGGGUUAAGGAGGAGCAGCGCAGUGCCACAGCGGCGGCCACGGCGGGGCAGUGCGGCUCCGUGCACGGCAGUGCGGCAACGGCGGGGGGGGGGGAGGGAGGACGGGAGAAAGGGGGAAACAUUAAGCAAACAAAUGAAAACAACACCAAAAAAGGGGGUAGGGAGAGAAAAAGGAAGCAAAACCAAAAAGAAAGCCAGCCUGCAAAUGUAAAUGCACCAGCUACGUGCCAAGUGAAGGUGCUGAUGCUGUGAUAAGCCUUCAGGUCUGCAAAGUUUGCUGGGAAGAAAAAAGGGAUUCACAUCCAUAGGGGAUCAGAGCGCUGCUCUGACGUUGCUAUUUUUCUUUCAGCUUGGAAGGUCCUUCCCCUGCUCUCCCCCACUGGAUUCAAACCAGGCAGUGAAGCCAGGUCUGUUCCUGGAGCCGCUGGAGGCUCACCGAUGUCUGUCUUCGGACCUCCCUGCUGAUAAAGAUUUAUGUGAUAGGAAUAAUUUGGUUGGGGUCAGGAUUUCUCCUCCAUGGAACCCAGGGCUACGUGGGGAGCUGCUGGGAUCCCAGCACAGCCUCUGUCCGGCUUCAGUUACAGCUUGAGCAGUGCAGCACAGGAGCGCUCUGAUUGCGAUCAUGCAGUCAUCGAAGGGGUCGUCCCCCAAAAGGAUGCUUUGAUUUUCGAUGUGACACCCAGGGCUGAGCAGCUCCGCUAGCCGAGUUUACGUGGGAUGUGAGUUUUCCCAUCGCUUUACUUCGGGACGUGCGGCGUGGAGCCCUGGGGCAAUGCCGGCACCUCCAGCUGCCCCUGCCCCCUGUGUUCUGCCCCUGCUGAGGGGGUCAGCCCCGAAGGUGAGGUGAUGGAGGGCUGUGGAUGGGCACGGCUCGGCGCUGGACAGAGGACCCACAGCUGCACUGAUGGCCAUCCCUGCCCCGGCCCCAACAGUGCCGCACGUGCAAUGCUGUGUGCUUUCCCGGGGGGCUGAAGGUGCUGAAUUAGGCGCUAACGUAUUUUCCUGUUGGAUCACUGUUUGACUCAAGAAAAUAAGAAAGGGCUAUUACUGCCUUCUGACCCGUUGCUUUGACAUUUGAGUUUCAGUUUGCUUAGCGUCAUAACGUUGAGAAAUUCAAACAGCUCUCCAGCUCGCAGAAUUAUGAACGCCUCCAUUUGGCACUGGAAGAAACCAGCCCUGCAUUCUGGAUUUCCUUACGUUUGCAUUUUCCCCAGCCCAGCAGGGUCGUUUUCCCUUUGAGAACAAUACAGGGCUUGGCUCCCCACGCUGUGCCGUGGCUGCAGCAGCUCAGUGCAGGGCAGGGCAGGUUGGUUCAUCCCCAGGAAGGCUCUGCCAGACACGGGGGCUGUACAGCUGUCCCAGCCAUAUGCCCUGCCCUGCCCUGGGCUGCAGAGGGGCCCUCGCUUUGCAUCGCUGCAUCUUUGCUGCUGCAGUCUGCACUGAGGAGCUGGAGUUGUUGAAGGGCUUUUCUACUGAUAAAUGGAUGGAAACCCGUAUUUUCAUCUCACGUCAUCAAACAUUCAUCAGAUACUCCUGGUCAGUACCGACAGAGCCAGAUUUGAACUGGUGACCCAGCAGUAAAAGGCCCCGUUAGCGAUUUCCCUGAACCAUCGAGCCAGGGUGUAACACAAAGGCAGUGCCGUGGGGAUUUGUGCCACAGGUGAAAGCAGGUUCUGAUUUCUGUUUGCUGAUGACCGUUACCAAAGCGUUUUGAAGGGGUUCGUGCUCCCGUGUGAUCCAGAAAUAGGAAGAGCAGCACUGCCUGCACCCAUCUCCCCACGUAGGGCAGUGCUGUAUGAACCCGACCCGUUCACAUACGUGGGUGGGGAGAGAGAGCCCCUCUGAGCCCCGGGACCCAAAAACGUCCUCAUGUGGCACUGUGGGACCGUCCUGCGCCGGGUCUGUGCUGUGAUAGUGCUCCCCAUAGGCAGGCAGGCUGCUUUGCCUCACAGUGCUGCUCUGUUCUUUCGCCAGCGAUUUUUAUAUCCCGGUUCUUUCUCUCUUUACAGAAUCAUUUGAAGAAAUAAUGUGUGAGGGGAAAAAAAAAUAUUACCUCCGGCAGUUGUGUUAUAACGGCUCUUGUGCUGACAGCCCUUUGGGAACGGUGGCAGCAGCAGGGCUGAAUGUUUUGGAGAAGAGAUCCUCAGAAGGAACACGGGAGGUGCGUUGGGUCGCCUUCACUCUGCACAGAGAUAAAGCCAGAGGGAUCCCUCAUUCCGAACAAGGCAGAGCCUGAACUUGAACUGCGGGUUGUCCAAAGCUCAGGAGAGAGUUUAAAGAAGAAUGAGGCGGGGAGGAGGAAUGAAAUGCCUCCGGUGGUUGAGCCCUCUCACCUGCCGGAGGACGUCGGGUCCGUCUGUGGCUGGGAAGUCUUUGGAUCAACGCAGGAGUGUGGAUGUAAGAAAAAAUCCUGUGCAAAACAUCUGUGUUGGGGAGGAUGCGACGAGCGAAACGCUCCCGAGCCCCUUUCUCCACACCAGCAUAAAACACAGCGCUGUCGGUGGCUCUGAGGCUGCCCUAAGCCCAGCGUGGUGUUGUCCCCGCUCUGCUGGCUCUUGGCUGGAGCUGCUGGCACAUCACCUGUGCACAUGUGUGCAUGCAAGGAAGAAAGUAGGGGGAAGUUGUCCCUGUUGCUGUCACAGUGCUGUCCCCGCCUGGCAGAGGUGCCCUCAGCCCGUGCUGUGCUGCUGCUCCUUCAGCAUCCAGGAAAAGGCAUGGAGAUGGUCCCCCAUUCCCCAUAACAGGUUUGUGCCAACCGCUCAGAAUAUCGAUUCAAAUGC